UGAAGCAUUAGCUAGGAUGUCAUUAGAUACCSUGUACGGAUUCCUUACGCAGCUAACUCCGGCUUAGCAUGGCGUUAAUGAAUUUGGGGUCUUUGUUUAGACGUCCUAGCGUGAUAAACGCUGUGUCUGUAAGAAGCUAAAGAGAGGAGCAACUAACUAACUUGCUGGAUCGAUGUGCCAGAUGGGCAACCGUACAUCUUGACCCAAUCCUGAUUGACGUCACACGCAAGCUACUCGUCAAAAUAUCAAAAAUUCAAUACUUGUAGCAGUGUUAAUAAUUYUGGGACCGACAUUUGAAAAUUUCUGUAAAAUUUUGUUCUUUGACAGUAACGUUGCCAACUAAAUACUACAUUUCGCUAUGAAAAUAAAAAAACAUUGAAGUUCA